UACGUAGGGGGCGAGCGUUGUCCGGAUUUAUUGGGCGUAAAGAGCGUGUAGGCGGUUCGGUAAGUCUGUCGUGAAAUCCUGAGGCUCAACCUCGGACGUGCGAUGGAUACUGCCGGGCUAGAGGAUGGUAGAGGCGAGUGGAAUUCCCGGUGUAGCGGUGAAAUGCGCAGAUAUCGGGAGGAACACCAGUAGCGAAGGCGGCUCGCUGGGCCAUUCCUGACGCUGAGACGCGAAAGCUAGGGGAGCAAACAGG
rnacentral:rRNA from 1 species